GCAAACAUAGUUUAAACAAAACACUAGACUGUGAUCCUAGAAAUAGAAGUUAAAACCUUCUUACUUGCC
rnacentral:tRNA from 1 species